CGAACGCUGGCGGCAGGCCUAAUACAUGCAAGUCGAACGGCUCUUCGGAGCAGUGGCGGACGGGUGAGUAACGCGUGGGAAUGUGCCCUUUGGUACGGAACAACACAGGGAAACUUGUGCUAAUACCGUAUGUGCCCUUCGGGGGAAAGAUUUAUCGCCAUUGGAGCAGCCCGCGUUGGAGUAGGUAGUUGGUGAGGUAAAGGCUCACCAAGCCUACGAUCCAUAGCUGGUCUGAGAGGAUGACCAGCCACACUGGGACUGAGACACGGCCCAGACUCCUACGGGAGGCAGCAGUAGGGAAUCUUGCGCAAUGGGCGGAAGCCUGACGCAGCCAUGCCGCGUGUAUGAUGAAGGUCUUAGGAUUGUAAAAUACUUUCACCGGGGAAGAUAAUGACGGUACCCGGAGAAGAAGCCCCGGCUAACUUCGUGCCAGCCGCCGCGGUAAUAC
rnacentral:rRNA from 1 species